rnacentral:lncRNA from 10 species
CUGAUAGGACAUAGAGCCAUCAAAGCGUACAUGAGCCACAUUUUCAAGAGGUGGGGACAGCUGGCCUGAAAUCCCAGAGUCAUCCUUGGAAGCCUUGGAUACCAGAAGUAUUCGGUUCUGGAGGCUGAAGUCCAAGGUCAAGGUCAAAGAGCCACAUCUGGUGAGGGCCUUCCUGCUGGUGGGGACUCUGCAGAACCCUGAAGCAUUGCAGGGCAUCACAUGGUGGGGGAGCUUGAGCACACCAAACUGGCUUUUACUAGAGACCCACUCUCAUGAUAACUAACCCACUCCUGUGAUAACCCAUUAAUUAAUUAACCCACUAAUCCAUUAGUCAAUUAAUAGAUUAAUCCAUUGAUGAGGGAAGAGCCUUCAUGACCAAAUCACCUCUUAAAGGCCCUACUUCUUAAUACUAUUAUAAUUGGGAUUAAAUUUCAACAUGAGUUUCAGAGGGGACAAACAUUCAAGCCAUAGCAAUAAGAAAGCUAUACAAUUGUUCCUGUGUGCAUAUUUCUUUUCUUUUCUUUUCUUUUCUCUUUUCUUUUCUUUUCUCCCUUCCUUCCUUCCUUCCUUCCUUUCUUUCUUUCUUUCUUUCUUUCUUUCUUUCUUUCUUUCUUUCUUUCUUUCUUUCUUCCUUUCUUUCUUUCUUUCUUUCUGAGAUGGAGUUUUGCUCUGUCACCAGGCUGGAGUGCUGUGGCGCGAUCUCGGCUUACUGCAACCUCCACCUCCUGGGUUCAAGCGAUUCUCCUGCCUCAGCCUCCUGAGUAGCUGGGAUUAUAGGCGUGUGCCACCACGCCCGGCAAUUUUUUUUGUAUUUUUAGUAGAGACGAGGUUUCACCAUGUUGGUCAGGCUGGUCUCAAACUCCUGACCUCGUGAUCCACCCCGUCCACCUCCCGAAGUGCUGGGAUUACAGGCGUGAGCCACUGCGUCCAGCCUGUGCAUAUUUCUUUAAACCUUAUUCUACUUGUAUUGUUUCAAUGUAUUAUUUGGUGAAACUAUUAAUCCCACCAUUUUUAAGAUCUCAUGUUUAAAUAUCUCAAUUUUGUUUGUAAAAGGAUAAUAGGAUAGAAAAGCAUGUGAUUAUUUUCUACUCUUAACCAUACCAAAAUGAUUAGGAAAGCCACACAGACAUCAGCAAGGUACUGUUGCUUGCAUAAUGCUGGCAUGUCCCAACAUGUCCCAAAUGCAGGCAAAGUUCCAGAGAAGGCAUUACCACUUGCUAACAGAUUCUGGCUAUAUGACUCAUCUCCAGUGAACAGGAUCAGUGUUAUUUGAUUUUGCACUAUCAGAGUGGUGGGUAAAUGAACAUGAUUUUCCUCUCCUGCUUGUCAAUGUGUCCAAAUGAUUAAUAUCUUAUGAGAACAAAAUGAAUCCAAUGAUAGCUAGCAUUUAUCAAAUACUCAUUAUGUAUCUGGAACCGUUAGUCAUUUCCAUAAAGUAGAUCAUUUAAUUCUUCACAAACCCUGUGAAGUAGGCAUUAUGGUCUCCAUUUUGCUGAAGAGGAAAAUGAGAUGAAGAAAAUGCUAAAUCACUGCUCAAGGUCACAGAGCAGACUUUGAGAAAGCAGAUUAUUUUUCAUUACAUGAGUGGGCCUCAUCCAGUCAAUUGAAGAUUUUAAGAAGUAAAAGACUGAGGUACCCCUAGGAUGAAGAAAUUCUGAUCCAGUCUGCCUUCAGACUUGAGCUGCAACAUCAACUCUUUCCUGGGUCUUCAGCCUGGCUGUUUGCUCUGUAGACUUUGGACUUGCCAGCCCGUAUAACUAUGUGAGCCAAUUCCUUAAAUCCCUCUCUCUCUCUCUCUCUCUCUCUCUACGUGUGUGUGUGUGUAUGUAUAUAUAUAUAUAUAUAUACAUACACACACAUAGACACAUGCACACACACAUUCUGUUGGUUCUAUGAGUAUUAUUCCUUGCAAUAUGCAUACCAUGUUGUGUCCAAUAGUCCAUAUAUUAUUGAUGACACUGAAAGUUAUUUUCACACUGGUAGUUGCCAAAGGAAAUGAAUAAAAUUCAAAUCAUUUCAGCAAAUUUGGAGUAGCACAUUCUUUGUGAAAAAUGUAUUUUCACUUUUCAAGAAAUGUGUUCCUUCAAAAAUCGGGCAUAAUAUUUAAGGGAAAAUUUGCAAGCAGCCCUGUUCUCCAUGGUGACAACAUGCAGAGUAGAGCUACUUCAUUGAAACAAGAUUUCUAGUGAUUAGCUAAAACCCAAAGCUCCAAAUCACAGUGAAGUGGAUUUUUAAAAGGAAACCCUGUCUCCCAGUGUUUGAGGACUAUGUAUAUAUACAGGGUCUCAGAGUCAAUGUGUUGAGUAUAUGAACUCUUAAAUAGUCCUUCCACAAUAGAAAGAGAAAGAAGUAGUGAUGGAGCAUCUGCAGGUGAGAGGAUUCUAGGAUGGGGAUUCCAGGAGGGGAAGGGGAAGAGCCCAGAGUUGGUGAUGUGGUAUGGGUGUGUGGUCUAUCACGGCUUCCAUAAAUGCUCAGGCUGUCUAUCCCUUUGGAGCAAGAUUACUGUUAAGCCCUAUACCACCAACUUGGAGCAUAAACAAUGUCAUUCCAAAGUAGCAUCUCAAAGCAAAACAAUGAGAGGUCUAGACCUCACAGAUUAGCAGGAGACACAUCUUACUCCACCCCAUCCUUCAAACUUCCUCCAAUGGCAUAUUCUACAAUUUUUGGGAUGUGUGCCAUGUCAAAAGAUUAGUUCUAAUUAUUCUCAUUUCUUGGUUGGUGCCAGAACUCUGUUUCACCUUUGAAGGUGCUGCUGUCCUGCUCCUGGAGGCGAUAUGGCUUGUUUUGCUCUCUCCCUCUGGCAGCCAUCCUGACUGGUCUCAGUGCUGCCUGCAGAUAUAUAAUGUCCUGUGUAAUGCUCGGUCAAGGGGAGCCUCAUGAGGGUGUGGAUUUGCAGCGUUACAACUCUUUAGGGUUGUGGUUCUUCUUUCCUUUCACUCACUCAGCCAUUUCCUUAGGGUGCAAGUCUGUUUCCAUGAUGGAUCACCACUGGGGACAGAAUCAGGUGCUGAGGGGGCCUUAAAUCCUGGAACCACCAUUCCCUCUUAAUGCUUGGCCCUUAUUGUACUGUCUGUUUCUCCAUAUGGUGAAUUAUUUAUUUUUCAGAAACACAUUGAUGUGUAGUCAACAACCAGAAAAUCUUGGUGACAUAUAAUCCUGAUGUUUAUUUAUUGCUCAUAAGUCUACAAGCCAACUGUGGUUUGAUUGAUCUAGGUGUGGCUCAGCGGGGCCUGGGUGCAGGUUGCUUUUAGGUCUGCUCCACAUGUCUCUCAUCCCUUUGGAGUUGGCAAACCACCUGGAGCACAGUCUUCUCAUGCAGAAGUGCAGGUGGGAGAACACGUUCCAGCUUUUGCUAACAUUGCAUCAACACUGCAAAUCACAUGGCCAAGCCCAAGAGCAAUGGCAAGGGGAAGCAUCUUACGAAAUUUCACCCGAGAGGCAGUGAGGAGUGAAUCUCCAAAAUUCCAACCAGCACACCAUCUAAGCAACUUUACACAGCCUUUCCCUAAUUUCUACCUUGCCGACAGUUACCCCACUAUGUCUAACAGCCUUAGUAAUUUUGAAUCCUAAAAGAAAGCAUUUGGGUUCUCAGGCUUCUUCUCCCAAGUGUCCACUCUGCUCCCCCAAACAACUGUCUAAUCACUUCUCAGCAUAUUCUAAGCUGCUUAUACCAACGCCCCUGUGGGUUACAAGCUAUGAAUCACCAACUCCCUACCAAGCUGAAGCUCAGGCCUGGUUCAGGCAAAAUGUUGUAAUAAAGGAAUAUAGCUCAAAAGAGGUAUUAUAUUGAGUCUCAGCUCUUCAUUCCUUUUUAUUUGUGCACAGACAAAAUAUCCACGUCAUUCUGCUACUUUGCUGUUCACUUACUCAAAUAUCUUUGCUUGUUUGCCAUUAAUUAAUAUGGAGUUUAUUAAUGAUAGAGAAAUAAAAAUUAUGACAACCUAAGCAUGUUCAUUAUCUGAAUAUUUGCCAGCCAUUAUGUACAGAGAGCAGACCAAUGUAAAAGAUUGUUUUUAUAUUGCAUAAUGUUAUUUUCUUUAAUUGUCUGUGAUCAAGUUAGAAAUUAAUAAAUGCAUAUUUAUUCCCUGUGGUCAACCAAGAAUCUCUCACUGGUUUAAUUUAAAUUUGGAAAGGCUGAGUAGAGUAGGACACUACCUAGAUGUAUGACUGCAACAAUUCAUUUGGUUUAGUUAGUUUUGAAGGCUGAUAGUUGCUAGCAAAUAAUUACA